GCAGUGGUUCAGUGGUAGAAUUCGUGCCUUCCACGCAGGACGCCUGGGUUGGAUUCCCAGCCAUGCA
rnacentral:tRNA from 1 species